GGGGAAGAUGGAUGGCGGCUUAGCCUUGGGAGGGUUUGCUUUCCUUGGUUGUUUUUUUUCUUUUUC
rnacentral:pre_miRNA from 1 species